GUUCUGGAAAAUCCUUUCCAGCUUCCCACUGGGCUCCUUUUCAGGCUGCAUGGCCGGCAUCCGGCAUCCUAUUUGGACCGUGUGCCUUAGCUUCUGACCGUGGAGAUGGAGAGAUCAGACCCCCUCUAUUGUCUAAAGGCCUCCAAGUUUUUCCACUAUCCAGCUCUGCUUCUGUAAGAAUCCAGGAGUUGUUUGAUUCUUCGAGGAUCUCAACUUGUGAUUGAUUCAUUGGUACUCAGACUGAAGUAUGUUCUAGGAUGACAACUCAGCUGUUUCUGGAAAAAUUACAACCUUGGCCAGGACGUUCCAAAUAAGUUAAAACAAUCUCUACAUCUGAGGGAGACAGCCUUUUACGAUGGGCUCUUCCUGUAUUACCCAGGUUGACCCUCCUGCCUCAGACUCCUGAGAAGCUGGCAUUAGGGUGUGCACCACCAUUCCCAUCUGAAAAAGAACCCACUGGGGAGACACGUUGAAACCAGGAGCUCAUGGCUGAAGACUACAUGGCUAGAGACAAGUAAGGGGCUGAGGACAGAGCAGAGAAGAAACAUUGAGGGAGAAGUAAAUGAGGGGAGAGAAGAAGAAACUGAGGAGGCCGUGAGCCUGGAUGCUGCAUGGGGGAGUGAAGAAUUUGAAUUGCUGGGAUGGCCAAGAAGUGUUUGGAGUCCAGCAUCACUCACUGGGGACAUGAUGACGUUUGUUCUGCAGCAGGGAAUGUCUUCCUAGCAUGACUGGCAGUGGAGAAUGUCUGUCUUUUACUGGAAAACCCAACUCCUACAUGAAUAUGCGAUCUGGCUCUGGGGCCUCAAGAAGAAAAUCACAAUAAUACUUUUUCUAUCAUCUUCAUUUGAUGGCAUUAUCCUUGGUAACUUGAUAUAAUUUUUUUUUUGGUACCGGGGAUCAAACUUGGGACCUUGCACUUGCGAGGCAGGUGCCAGAACCACUGAGCUAAAUCCCUGGCCCAACUUGAUAUAAUUUUUAUAAAAUAAAUUUACUUCUCUAUUUCUUCUACUUGACAAUAUGUCUUGUACUUUAUUCCAUGUAAGUACAGGUCCACUUCAUUCUUUUCAACAGUUAUGUUAUUGUGAUAUAUUAUAAUUUGUUGAUGAACAUUUUGGCCAUUUAAAAAUAGUGUAAAAACUAUUUCAAAAAUGCUUUAAGAGAUAAUGUGAGUGCAGUGAGUAUUGUUAACAUUUGCCAGGCAAUACUUUUUAAAUUGCUGUUAAAUAUAUGUAACAAAAUUUACAUUUUCAACACAUUUUAGCUUACAGUUUUGUGUAUUAAAUGCUUUCUUACUGUUGCACAACCAUCAUCACCAUCUGUCUUCAGAAUUUUUUUUUCUUCCAUGACUAGAACUUUGUGCUCAUUAAAACACUAAUUCCUCAUUUCUCUUUCAUGCCAGCUCUUGAAAUUCUCCUACUUUGUGUCUCUAUGAAUUUGGC
rnacentral:lncRNA from 1 species